rnacentral:rRNA from 1 species
AGUGAACGCUGGCGGUAGGCCUAACACAUGCAAGUCGAACGGCAGCACAGUAAGAGCUUGCUCUUACGGGUGGCGAGUGGCGGAUGGGUGAGGAAUACAUCGGAAUCUACUUUUUCGUGGGGGAUAACGUAGGGAAACUUACGCUAAUACCGCAUACUACCUACGGGUGAAAGCAGGGGAUCUUCGGACCUUGCGCGAUUGAUUGAGCCGAUGUCGGAUUAGCUAGUUGGCGGGGUAAAGGCCCACCAAGGCGACGAUCCGUAGCUGGUCUGAGAGGAUGAUCAGCCACACUGGAGCUGAGACACGGUCCAGACUCCUACGGGAGGCAGCAGUGGGGAAUAUUGGACAAUGGGCGCAAGCCUGAUCCAGCCAUACCGCGUGGGUGAAGAAGGCCUUCGGGUUGUAAAGCCCUUUUGUUGGGAAAGAAAAGCAGCAGGUUAAUACCCCGCUGUUCUGACGGUACCCAAAGAAUAAGCACCGGCUAACUUCGUG